rnacentral:rRNA from 1 species
UACAGAGGUCUCAAGCGUUGUUCGGAUUCAUUGGGCGUAAAGGGUGCGUAGGCGGCGCGGUAAGUCGGGUGUGAAAUCUUGGAGCUUAACUCCGAAACUGCAUUCGAUACUGGCGUGCUUGAGGACUGGAGAGGAGACUGGAAUUCAUGGUGUAGCAGUGAAAUGCGUAGAGAUCGUAAGGAAGACCAGUGGCGAAGGCGGGUCUCUGGACAGUUCCUGACACUGAGACACGAAGGCCAGGGGAGCAAACGGG